rnacentral:tRNA from 1 species
GCCUGGGUGGCUCAGUCGGUUAAGCGUCUGACUUUGGCUCAGGUCAUGAUCUCGCGGGUACGUGAGUUCGAGCCCCGCGUCGGGCU